ACGCUCGACACCUACGGGAGGCCGCAGUAGGGAAUCUUCCACAAUGGGCGCAAGCCUGAUGGAGCAACACCGCGUGAGUGAAGAAGGGUUUCGGCUCGUAAAGCUCUGUUGUUGGAGAAGAACGUGCGUGAGAGUAACUGUUCACGCAGUGACGGUAUCCAACCAGAAAGUCACGGCUAACUACGUGCCAACAGCCGCGGUAAUCUGAGCGGGCUGGCAAGGC
rnacentral:rRNA from 1 species